GAUGAACGCUGGCGGCGUGCCUAAUACAUGCAAGUCGAGCGAACAGACGAGGAGCUUGCUCCCCUGACAUUAGCGGCGGACGGGUGAGUAACACGUGGAUAACCUACCUAUAAGACUGGGAUAACUUCGGGAAACCGGAGCUAAUACCGGAUAAUAUAUUGAACCGCAUGGUUCAAUAGUGAAAGACGGUUUUGCUGUCACUUAUAGAUGGAUCCGCGCCGCAUUAGCUAGUUGGUAAGGUAACGGCUUACCAAGGCAACGAUGCGUAGCCGACCUGAGAGGGUGAUCGGCCACACUGGAACUGAGACACGGUCCAGACUCCUACGGGAGGCAGCAGUAGGGAAUCUUCCGCAAUGGGCGAAAGCCUGACGGAGCAACGCCGCGUGAGUGAUGAAGGUCUUCGGAUCGUAAAACUCUGUUAUUAGGGAAGAACAAAUGUGUAAGUAACUAUGCACGUCUUGACGGUACCUAAUCAGAAAGCCACGGCUAACUACGUG
rnacentral:rRNA from 1 species